GUGACUUUUAAUGUUUCCUACUUCCUGUCCUGUCAAGGGCAAUAACUUGUGUUUGACCGAAGUGAUAACUCAGGGUCAACGAAGCUGCUAAGCACAAUGUUUGGUUUAGUAAAGAACGUGGCUGUGAGAUCACAACCUGUUGUUAGAAGUGCAGUAAACCGGCAAAUUGUAAGAAACUUUGGUGAAGAUAUCCAAGUCGGCAAACCAAGAUAUCCAUUGGGUGACCGAGCUAUGUGGAAAAAGGGGCUUGUUUUCCUACCAUUCAUGUUUAUCAUCUGGUACCCAUCUUGGUAUGUGACUAAAAAUCUGAGGAAACACAAAGAAGCCAAGGCAGCACAGGGUUAACUAACAGAGUUCUUAGCAGUCCAACAAACUUAAAACACAGUGAAGACACAUCACACUGACAAUAACUAGUGGUUCAUUCGUUGACUUGUAUGAAUUAAAUUGAUUUAAUAUGACAAAGAAA